CACCAGCAUCGGAGCUAGGGCUUUUCCUUGGACGUGAGCCGAGUCGGGUCCACGGACGAGUUCGUGGAGGAGAUAGAGCCUCGGUUCCAGGCCGCGUUCAAGGCGAUGGAGGAGCUGGGGAAGGGCGCGAUCGCGAACCUGGCCCAGAUGAGGGCCGCAUGGUCGGGCACUACUGGUUGAGGAAGUCGGAACUCGUGCCGGCCGGGUUCCUGAAGGCGCAUAUUGAGAGCACGCUUGACGCGGUCUGCGGUCUGCAAUUUCCCCAUGUUCUUCUUUAAUUGUUGUUUCCUGAGUUUAAUGAGCUCGUGGUAAUGAUAAUAAUGAUAUCUAUUGCUCCUAUUCUAGAGGAUUCUUAGAAGAGAAGCUUGACGAUCGGUUUAUUUGUUGACAUUUGCUGAAUGCCAAGUGUCGGGAGUUCUGUUGAAAGAUGAUAAAAUUUUAUUCAUUGGAGCAAGUUCUCAAUAAGACAGGAAGCUCGUGACUUUUAACUUACAAUGUUGGACACUCCUGUCAUAUAGGUUUGUCUUUCGGUCGACUUAGAUGGAUGUUGGAGCUCCCAAAUGACAGAGAUAGUCAGAUAGAUCGGUAUCCUUUGCUAAUGGAACAAGUGGAGAGUAGUAGUGGUCAUCAACACAUAAUUGAUGUAGAGAGAAAUGGGGACGCCUCAUUGACAACAUCUCAUGGUGAUCAGCAACGCAGGGUAGACUCGACAGAGGAUGAGGAUGGACUUUCGCCUAUCAUGCCAGCCCCUGCGGAUCAAACAACUGUAAAUUCAUCAAACAAAUUGAACUCCGUGAAUUCCUCUAGCACGAGAAGAAGGAGUGAUGAUUACCACCAGCAUCGAACAAGUCCAUUGAAUUCUGGACUAUGGAUUUCAGUGGAGUUAGUUGUCACCGUGGGUCAAAUUAUAGCACCAAGUUAGCUGGACUUACCAGGUCGAGGAUCCACUAUCAGAGGCAACAAAGUAAUUGAAGCGGCUUCAAAGGAGCUCACCUGAUUCUUUGGAAACACACAUUCUUUCGUUUGAAGUAAAUAUGAGAAAGUGGAAAACUUUGCUUGCUUUUCAGGCGGUGAAGCAGCUGCUCCGGUUGGACGCAGAAAGCCCUGACACACAUAGGUGCCUGUUAAAGUUUUUCCACGUAGUUAGUUCCAUGGCUGCCCCAGCUACUGACUCUGAGAAACUUAUUUGCACUGUAUUAGAAGCUGAACGACCAUAAAUCAGUCAUUUGCAUGGGAAGUCUCUGUUAGAGGCAAAUGAGUCAUUCCUCAAUAAGCAUAAAGAUUCCUUGAUGCACAAGGCAGCUGCUGCAGAAAUGCUGUAUCUUUUGGAACCCAGCAAUAAGGGCAAGGCUGUGAAAUUAAUUGAGGAUUCAAGCAACAACUUGGUGCAAAGAAAUGGAGCACUCAGAUCAGUUAAGGAAUGGAAACUCAAGGAUUGUAUUGCGGUUCACAAGCUACUCUCCUCAGCAGUGGUUGAUAUGGAUGCUGCAUCAAGAUGGAAAUUACGUUGUGCUGAAUACUUCCCGCACUCCACAUAUUUUGAAGGAAGUCGCAGUUCUGCAGUUCUAAAGUCCUCGUACAACCAGAUUUCUAGUAAUCCUGAAAAUGGAGUCAACCAUCCUGCGGGUGGCAUAAGCAUGGAUUCUCUUGCGUCAAAUGGAAAACUGGAAGCUUUUAAGGACCUCUCUAUCUAACAAGUGGAGUUGAAAGCUCAUUUUGGGCAAUGGGAAUAUGCAUUAAGCUAAGGUUUCCCUUUUUGCAUUGUUAGUUUUACAAUCUAUAGGACAUCCUGAGGUGGAGCCAUAGGAGAAAUUUUGAAGAACGGAUGCUUCAUCAGCCUUAAGAACAAGUGGCCUCUGCAAACUUACUUCUGGAGACAUGUUGUACUUCCCUUAUUUAUGUCCACCAUUGUUUUUCCUUUGUAUAAACAUUGCGUUCUGUGAAAAAUUUUGGAAUGAGAUGUUACAAAUGAUAGAUUUUGCAUCAAUAAGACAUGCUCUCCUGGGUUGGUUUUU